UGACGACCUGAUUACAGGCACUGCACACUACGAGAUAGAAGUCGUCAUGUGCUGGAUAAUGGCCAAAUAAGUGCAUAUCUUCUUUAUUAAGCCCCAUAA